UGCCCGGCGGGCUGAGGAGCGGCCCGGGGCCAGGACCCUGCCUCGCUGCCCUGCAGCGGGGCCUCCCCCGGCCCUAGGACUAGCAGCAGCAAGCGGUGUGGACAAGCCCAUAGCCUCUCUUCUACUGAGAGCUCUUUCGACUGACUGCUGCUGUUUGUGCCUUGAACAGCACCAACUAAACUGAUGCUGCUAAACGCAUAAUUUAAAACCAAUGAGAAGCUCAGAAGCUUUACAACAGGCCUUUAAAUGAAUUUGGGCUGAGUUGUGAGGCCCUGAUAAUGCAAACAUUUGUGCGUGUCCUCAACUUUACUACUGUGAAUAGUCUUAUUACUUUAAGGGACUACUAUUCAUGAUGGUAAAGUUAAACUAUGUGUGUGUGUGUGUGUGUUUACAGGAUCAGGGCCCAAGUUUGUAAAGAAACCCAAAAGCAAUGGCAUUUCACAUGGUUUCAGGUUCUGUUGUGUAUGUUUUAUUCAGCUCUAAGUUAAUAGGCUGUGCCUUGCAAUAUUUAUAAAUAAACAUCUAGCAUGUGCUGAAAUGAUUUCUCUCAUCUUUGCUUUUAUUUUUAACUCUAUCUGUACCUUCCACGUUUUUUCUCUGUGUAAUUUUAUUGCUAAUGUUAUCAUUUAAAAGCUAUCAUACUGUAUUUAUACAAAUAAUAUGCUAACACUGCAUGCUAAUAGUUUGUAUUUUUCAAAUACCCAGUGCAUAUGGAUUAACAAAGUUGUUUUAUAGAUAUUUUAUUGUUUUAAUAAACCUUUAAUAAAAUUUUAUUAUAAAGUU